rnacentral:lncRNA from 1 species
UGAUGAUCAGGCUCUGAAAGGAGUUAAGGAUAGGAACAUCGACCCCCAAGAUGUACUUUCUGCAGCAUUUUCGAACCGCUCAGGAAUUUUCCUUGUCGUUUUAGUGCAUCGAGGGGUGCGUGGCUUCUUCACGAAGUGCGAGUCAAAGCAACCGAGGUCCAGCGUGGGCACGCCCCCCUCGGGACCAGACAGCCACAAAGAGCAUGGAAGUUAACCGAUGCCUGUGAGGGGGUCUCCUUCCGGGAGGCCCCGUCAGCCAGGAGAAACCACAGGCAGCGGGUGUCUGAACAACGCGGGAAGAGCGGCAGGUGUCGGCUGGCAGGUUUGGCGCCAGCACACGUGCAAGCGGAGUCCCCUGCCAGGGCUUGGAAUCCGGCUGGGCCAGAGACAGAGCUUCCACAUUGCAAACUGCGAACCGAGCACAUCGCCCAUCCGCGUUCCCUCAGGGCAAGCCCCACAGCGCCGCCUGGCGACCACAGCCGGCCGGAAGCCUAGGGGUGG